GGAGUUUAAUGGGCAGAAAAAAAUAUUCAUAGAACAUAGUUAUUAUUUCAAGAGACAAUGCCAUGGUUCUGUAUUUGAACCUGUAAGGCCACGGAACAUAGAAUAUUUUGGCCCUGUAAAUUCUGUUAGAUGAAGAGAUGGUGACUAUAAGUGGCAACAAGAAGUUUCUGAAUAGGACUGUUUUAAGCACAGUGGUUUUUCUUAUGUCGGCGUAUAUUAUGUGAAGAGGAUGAACUUAUUUGUAAUCAUGGAUGAGAAGGGGCUCCUGCAUCUCCUGAGUCUUUAAGAGGUUGCCAGCAUUAGUUUCUGACUUUUCUUUGGUCCCCUUUUGGGACCAGGAGCAACACAGGAAGUGUCAGCCAUGAAAACCAGUAGCUACAAGAAGAAUCUGUAUCACCAUUUUGGAGGAGAAGCCAAAAAGAAAAAAAAAAGAUGUCCAUGUUAAAGAGCUAAUACAAACCUAUCCUGCUAGAAGAUGAAACAAAGUAGACCUUUGCCUUGCAACUUGAUGCUCUGCUUCUGUGCCAAGGCUAUCAAUAUAUCUUCACCGAACGCAGAUUUGGGGAGAGAAGAACACAAGUUGCUCUCAUGAGCUUAGAAGAAAGCUCCAGCACACAACUAGGGCAUGUCUGUCUUCUUCAAUGCUGAAUUCUCAUGACUGGGAGUGAUGCUGAGCACAUGGAAAAUAACAGCAACGUUGGAGGGUUAAAUGUUCUUAUUUCAUCAUAGAAAUGUAGUGAUAAAAAUAUGCUAAUAUCUUAAACAAACAAACAAAAAUGCCAUAAAAUCCUUCAUCUUAGAAUUGGACCAGGCUUGGGACACCUGGGUAGCUUAGCGGUUAUGCGUCUGCCUUUGGCUCAGGGCAUGAUCCUGGGGUCCUGGAAUCGAGUCUCACCUUGGGUUCCCUGCAGGGAACCUGUUUCUCUCUCUGCCUGUGUCUCUGCCUCUCUCUCUGUGUCUCUCAUGAAAAUAAAAAAAAAUUAAAAAAAAAAAAGAAUUGGACUAGGACUUAAAUAUUAUUAUGGCCAAUCCCUUCAUUUUUGUCUCCUAUAAUUGAGGGUCGGCAAAUGGGAUCUGCCAUAGCCACACAGCUUCCGGUAGAAGAGCCCAAGUUAAAAUGCACAUCUCUUAAUUACCAACCAACACUCAUUCCACUAUAUCACAUUGUCAUUUCAAAAAAAAAAUCAUUUAAAAAAUACUAGUGAUUUAAUUCAAGUGGUGUUGUUAUACAGUGGUAUAGUUGAACAUAUCAUAAAUAAAUAUACAAA